rnacentral:rRNA from 1 species
UACGUAGGGUGCGAGCGUUAAUCGGAAUUACUGGGCGUAAGGAGUGCGUAGGCGGUUCUGAAGUCCGCUGUGAAAGCCCCGGGCUUAACUUGGGAAUUGCGCUCGAAACUACGUGGCUGGAGUGUGGCAGAGGAAGGUGGAAUUCCAGGUGUAGCGGUGAAAUGCGUAGAGAUCUGGAGGAACACCGAUGGCGAAGGCAGCCUUCUGGGCCAACACUGACGCUCAUGCACGAAAGCGUGGGGAGCAAACAGG